UAGGUUAUCCGUGUAGCCU
rnacentral:miRNA from 1 species